AACGAACGCUGGCGGCAGGCUUAACACAUGCACGUCGAGCGCCCCGCAAGGGGAGCGGCAGACGGGUGAGUAACGCGUGGGAAUCUACCGUGCCCUACGGACUAGCUCCGGGAAACUGGAAUUAAUACCGUAUACGCCCUACGGGGGAAAGGUUUAUCGGGGUAUGAUGAGCCCGCGUUGGAUUAGCUAGUUGGUGGGGUAAAGGCCUACCAAGGCGACGAUCCAUUGCUGGUCUGAGAGGAUGAUCAGCCACAAUGGGACUGAGACACGGCCCAAGCUCCUACGGGAGGCAGCAGUGGGGAAUAUUGGACAAUGGGCGCAAGCCUGAUCCAGCCAUGCCGCGUGAGUGAUGGAGGUGUUAGGAUUGUAAAUCUCUUUCGCCGGUGAAGAUAAUGACGGUAACCGGAGAAGAAGCCCCGGCUAACUUCGUGCCAGCCGCCGCAGUAA
rnacentral:rRNA from 1 species